rnacentral:rRNA from 1 species
GUUUGAUCAUGGCUCAGAUUGAACGCUGGCGGCAUGCCUUACACAUGCAAGUCGAACGGCAGCACGGGAGCAAUCCUGGUGGCGAGUGGCGAACGGGUGAGUAAUAUAUCGGAACGUGCCCAGUCGUGGGGGAUAACGCAGCGAAAGCUGUGCUAAUACCGCAUACGAUCUAUGGAUGAAAGCGGGGGACCGCAAGACCUCGCGCGACUGGAGCGGCCGAUAUCAGAUUAGGUAGUUGGUAGGGUAAAGGCCUACCAAGCCAACGAUCUGUAGCUGGUCUGAGAGGACGACCAGCCACACUGGAACUGAGACACGGUCCAGACUCCUACGGGAGGCAGCAGUGGGGAAUUUUGGACAAUGGGCGAAAGCCUGAUCCAGCCAUUCCGCGUGCAGGAUGAAGGCCCUCGGGUUGUAAACUGCUUUUGUACAGAACGAAAAGGUCUCUAUUAAUACUAGGGGCUCAUGACGGUACUGUAAGAAUAAGCACCGGCUAACUACGUGCCAGCAGCCGCGGUAAUACGUAGGGUGCAAGCGUUAAUCGGAAUUACUGGGCGUAAAGCGUGCGCAGGCGGUUAUAUAAGUCAGAUGUGAAAUCCCCGGGCUCAACCUGGGAACUGCAUUUGAGACUGUAUAGCUAGAGUACGGUAGAGGGGGAAUGGAAUUCCGCGUGUAGCAGUGAAAUGCGUAGAUAUGCGGAGGAACACCGAUGGCGAAGGCCAUCCCCUGGACCUGUACUGACGCUCAUGCACGAAAGCGUGGGGAGCCAACAGAAUAGAUCCCUGGGAGUCCACGCC